GCCCUUUUCAGGUUGUGCUACUGUGUAUAUUGGUAGGCAGUGCAAUAUUAAAGGGGCAU
rnacentral:pre_miRNA from 1 species